AGCGAACGCUGGCGGCAGGCCUAAAACAUGCAAGUCGAACGCCCUAGCAAUAGGGAGUGGCAGACGGGUGAGUAACACGUGGGAACGUGCCUUUUGGUUCGGAACAACACAGGGAAACUUGUGCUAAUACCGGAUAAGCCCUUACGGGGAAAGAUUUAUCGCCAAAGGAUCGGCCCGCGUCUGAUUAGCUAGUUGGUGGGGUAACGGCCCACCAAGGCUACGAUCAGUAGCUGGUCUGAGAGGAUGAUCAGCCACACUGGGACUGAGACACGGCCCAGACUCCUACGGGAGGCAGCAGUUAGGAAUCUUGGACAAUGGGCGCAAGCCUGAUCCAGCCAUGCCGCGUGAGUGAUGAAGGCCUUAGGGUUGUAAAGCUCUUUCAGCGGGGAAGAUAAUGACGGUACCCGCAGAAGAAGCCCCGGCUAACUUCGUGCCAGCAGCCGCCGUAA
rnacentral:rRNA from 1 species